AUGGAACGGACCCCUGAAACGAGGGCUAAGACACCCAAAGCAGCCAAGCAGUCAAAAAAAGACUCUAACAAUGAGUGGAAAACUACAUUCUCGUCAAGCAAGACCUCCUUUACCAGAGGCAGUGUUUCUAUCCUGAGGACUAAGUACGCCAUCUCCUGGGGUAAAUCCUCAAUCUCCUGGAGCAGAAACACCGUAACUUUGGGCAACACCAGUAUAGCAGUGGGCAAAACCUCUGUUACACGCGGGGAGACUACCAGCUCUCUCACCACUCUGACCUUCACUCAUGGGACCAAGUCUGUGUCUGUGGUCAAAACCACCCUCGUCAGGGGCAAAGAAACGCAUAGCAACGUCUACUGGGAUUUUCACACUUGAAUCCUGCACAUACUUAAAAACCUACGGAUAUGUCAAUAUGGUCAGUUUUAGAAGUCUUGGCCUAACCAGCAGGAUCAGAUGACACAGGCCAACUCCUCACUGGCGGCAGCAUUGUGCAACACCAGCCAGUGCUGUGUUUAUCAUCCUGGACUGUCGGGGGAGGCGUCCCAUCCUGCACUGGAUUGGCACAAACAGUCAAGAGAAAACAAAAUGCCUCGUGCUAUGACAAAUAAAGUUUCACAAUUUGGGUCAAACCCACGUUGAGUGAAAGGUGUAAAAAUGCAACUACAGCAGGGUGUGUCUCUCUCUCACCCGUCCCCUCUGGGAGCAAGCGUACAGGCAAAGUGUUUUAUGGUCAGAGGAGGUGCAGAGGGAUCAGGGCGAAAGAUGGAGUAUUGGACUGAGUAGCACAGAGAGGGUAAAUCAAGCGUCUGAGCGUGACAGGGGGAUAAUAGGAGGAAUAACAGGGUGUCACACUGAAAUUGAUGGUGAGAGAGCAGGCCGAUCAGCUGAUGACUGGUGUCCAAAUGUUCAGCCAAACGUGCUCUGCUGUAACUUCAUGCACUUGAUGGUAAAAAAAAAUAAAAAUGAAAUAAAGGGAGGUUGAGAAAUAAAGAAAAAAUGCAAAAGAAUGAUGCACAAAAACCGAAAUUACCAUGAUGCAACUGUCACACUACUGCUCAGAAUACAAAACACUAAGUGUCCAAGAAACGUGAAUAUGAAUUAUGGAAUAUUUUAUUUUCUCCUCUUGAGCCACGCCCUGGAAGAGCUCAGACGUCAGCCAACAGGCAGCACAUCGCCCUCGCUCCUCUCCCCCCCUCCCUCCGUUCCUUUUUGUUUACAGGAAGCAGCUGAAGGGAUAACACUUGUCAAGUCUCACUCAUCUUAUCUAUUUUUUCUCAGGUUCACCGUGUCCGCAGCAACAUUGUUCCUCCAGUCAUGGACAACAACAACCAUUAGCCAGGCCGAAGCAACAUAGCAGUCAGUUUUAAGCACUACAGAACAGAAUGUGGCUUGAAUACAAAUACGAUCGUUUGAGAUACAUUUAGUCAAAUCACAAAAAAACAGGAAAAGAAAAAGAAAAAAGAAAAUCUGGGGUGACAUGAAAAUUUACACUCACUCCGUAAAACCUCAGCCCUUAAGCUAUACCCUGUUGCUAGUGGCAACAGUGCAGAGAUGCAGUGGAUCACAAUGACACUGCUGUCACUGUGGACAUUAUAAAUACCACCAUGUCUCUUCAUAGCCAUCAAAACUAAAUUCCUUUAGGUUUUAAAUGCUGUCUGUCAAGAAAACAAAAACAGUGCAAAAUCGAAAAUCCUCAAAAAGCUAAAUGGUUGACAUUUGUUUUAGUUGGAAGGUUUUUCCAAGGACGAUUCUCAUCAACUCUUACUUUAUCAUGAGAUUCGGCUUUCCUUAACACAAAUGUUCUUUUGCUGUUCAUGCAGUAUGUGUCUUUAAUUCAAACGGAUUCAUCUUGUUACGUACGUCACUGUGAACAAGGCACUCGGCAGAGAUUAGUCCUGUUCCUGUGCCUGGUACUGGUGACCCACAUCGUGCCAGAUCAAGUUUAUUGUAAACACCUUUAAACAGCUCUGUGAUGCCUGCUAUUCUUGGUUGCGACCACAAGUGACAAACAGAACUGAGGAACCUCACACAUCAACAUGUGAACUCCCCGACCCCGUAACUGAACAGAAACACUUCUCUGAAGUCAUCAAACGAAUUGUCAGGAAUUUGAAACUUUAAUCUGUGUGUGUGUUGAUUGUAAGUUAAACAUGUAUGAUGUUACAGUGAGAGAAAAGUGGUUAGAUUUUAUAUAUAUACACACACACACACGCGUAUUAGGGUAAAUAAAAGCUUGGCCUGGUAUACUAAUCGAGCACUAACGUCACUUAGCUACUGUAGCCAGGCAGCGAUUCAGCUAUGGAAGUAACUGUGUCUCAGUCAGCACGACUGAGAGCCUAGAUCCUGCACCAACGUGACGCCCAGCCUGCUUUAAUGUACACCCAGAGGGCCACUGCUGAUUCAGGACCUCUCCCCGCUAAGACUCUACGACCACACUGCAGCCUACUUGAAUCAGCUCUGACCAGAUCCAGAAGAACAUAAAAGGCUCAGAAACACCAUGAAUGAGAUCAGGCAGCGACACAGACUCGCAUAGAGGAAUUUGCCCUUGAAGUGAACCUAAUCAAUUCAUGUUGUUCUUUAGAAAAUGGAACACAAACGUGUAGUAAGCAUUACUGAUGGAGAGCUGUUUGAGGUUUAUUUCCGUCCCGUCCGGUUUGUUUGUCAUUAAAAUGCCUAAAUGAUUAAAUCUGUCUUUGCACAGUCAGCACAAGCUGAAAACAACAGUGUUUCUGUGUCCACGUUAAUCCUCUUCUGUGUUUGAAGUCUGUUGUGAGAAGUUUUCUUUCUUUGCAGGCGUGCUCUGUGCAAAAUUGUGUGUUUUGCAACUCUCUAUGUGUCACUAAAAUGCAAUGGAAUAAAAGUGAAUAAAAAGACA